AAUGAACGCUGGCGGCAGGCCUAACACAUGCAAGUCGAACGGAUCCUUCGGGAUUAGUGGCGGACGGGUGAGUAGCGCGUGGGAACAUACCCUUUGGUACGGAAUAGCCUCGGGAAACUGGGAGUAAUACCGUAUGUGGUCGAGAGACGAAAGAUUUAUCGCCAAAGGAUUGGCCCGCGUUGGAUUAGGUAGUUGGUGGGGUAAUGGCCUACCAAGCCGAUGAUCCAUAGCUGGUUUGAGAGGAUGAUCAGCCACACUGGGACUGAGACACGGCCCAGACUCCUACGGGAGGCAGCAGUGGGGAAUCUUAGACAAUGGGGGAAACCCUGAUCUAGCCAUACCGCGUGAUCGAUGAAGGCCUUAGGGUUGUAAAGAUCUUUCAGGUGGGAAGAUAAUGACUGUACCACCAGAAGAAGCCCCGGCUAACUCCGUGCCAGCCGCCGCGGUAA
rnacentral:rRNA from 1 species